CAAUAGCGUAUAUUAAAGUUGUUGCAGUUAAAAAGCUCGUAGUUGGAUUUCGGGGCAGCCUGGCUGGUCCGCCGCAAGGCGAGUACUGGUCAGCCGCCCUUCCUCUCGAAAGCCCCGACUGCUCUUUACUGCAGUGGUCGGGUAGUUCGGGACGUUUACUUUGAAAAAAUUAGAGUGUUCAAGGCAGGCCGUCGCCUGAAUACAUUAGCAUGGAAUAAUGGAAGAGGACCUCGGUCCUAUUUUGUUGGUUUCCAGGGCCGAAGUAAUGAUUAAGAGGGACAGUUGGGGGCAUUCGUAUUUAAUUGUCAGAGGUGAAAUUCUCGGAUUUAUGAAAGACGGACAACUGCGAAANCANNNGCCAAGGAUGUUUUCAUNAA
rnacentral:rRNA from 1 species